GCCUGGGUGGCUCAGUUGGUUAAGUGUCUGACUUCAUGAUCUCACAGUCUGUGGGUUCGAGCCCCACAUCAGGCU
rnacentral:tRNA from 1 species